rnacentral:rRNA from 1 species
UACGUAGGGGGCGAGCGUUGUCCGGAGUUACUGGGCGUAAAGCGUGCGCAGGCGGUUUUGUAAGCCGGAUGUGAAAUCCCCGGGCUUAACCUGGGAAUGGCAUUCGGGACUGCAAGGCUGGAGUGCGGCAGAGGAGACUGGAAUUCCUGGUGUAGCAGUGAAAUGCGUAGAUAUCAGGAGGAACACCGAUGGCGAAGGCAGGUCUCUGGGCUGACACUGACGCUCAUGCACGAAAGCGUGGGGAGCAAACGGG